rnacentral:SRP_RNA from 14 species
GGGAGGCCCGGAAGCGAGCAUCCUUCGCCUGGCCGGAC